rnacentral:lncRNA from 1 species
CCGCAGAUCAUUUCUAUCUGAUGUUUAAUCAAAACUUCGGUAUCCAUUGGGACUCGAAUCUAGAUCAUUUGGUUGAAAAUCAAGUCCAUUCCGCAUGGACUACUGCCACAAUAACUACUAGUUACAGAUUUAUCUUAUGAGCCUGUACACUGGUAUCUAAAAUGUCAGAAAAUCUUGAAUAAUAUUAAUUUGGCUCUUUCUUAUUUAAUUCCAUGCUGUCUUCUCAGUCCA